CCGCCGGCUACCGGAGCGCCGCCGCCGGAAGAGCGCGCCUCCAUGCCCUCUCUCCUUCUUCCCUCCCCUUCCUCCGGUUCUAUUUCUCACCUCCCUCUCUCUCUCUUUUGCAGGAAGCGGAAGCCAUGGCCGCCGCCCCGCCGCCCCGCGCCGGCCGGCCAUCGGAGCGCCGCUGCUGGACCAACGCGUCGCCCUGCCCUCCUCUCCUUCUCCCCCCUCCCUCCGGUUCUAUCUCUCACCUCCCUCUCUCUCUCUCUCCUUUGCAGAAAGCCACGGCCGCCGGACCUCCACGCCUCCGCGAGCCCGCCGCCGGCCUGUGACCUCUACGCUGCCUCCAGUCCUCUCCGGACUCCUCCGUCGUAUUCUUCUCAUUCUCCGACGCUGCCAAGUUCGCCCGAGGAAGAAGCGUCGAGUUCGCCGGAGGAACAAGAACAUCCGUCCAGCCGUCCAUUGUCGCCUGAGCUACAGCAGAGGUGCCAAAGGUGUCCGAUCUAACUAAGGUGGAGGCCAAGGAGGUUUAGCUCUCGGACAUUGCACCAAUGACGUUGGAUAAUACCGACAUGCAUACUGAGUGUACGCAUUGUGCAAGCUGGGAGAAAAGAGACUCCAGUGCAGCUCCUCUUUCUCUCCAUCUCUCUCUCUCUCCCUCUCAAGAUUAUUAGGGAAGGAGCGAUGGAUUGGGGUGGGUAGUGCUCUAGAUUAUUCGGUGGCCCUCAGCGGCAGAUCCUUGAAAGAAAGUUAAAAGAAGUCAAAUUUUUUUUGCAUACAACGUGUCAGCCUAGGAGUGAGCACCCACCAGCGCCUCAAAUGCAUGGCAUGGGCUAUAGCUUACCCCUUUAAUUCUUUCAUAUAUUAGAAGUAGACAAAUGCAAAUGUCCAUAGUAAUAAACUUGUGGUCACAAGAUUGCUAGCUUAAAGUUUGCUAGAUUAUGUAAAUGGGUAAUUUUGUUGCAUGCUUUUUAGGUUUCCAUAGUAUGACUCAUUCUACAUAAUGGCAGGCAAGAAAAAAUAAAAUAGCUUGACUAUUCCAUGCACAACUAUUCUUUCA